CCUACGGGGGGCUGCAGUGGGGAAUAUUGCGCAAUGGGCGAAAGCCUGACGCAGCGACGCCGCGUGGGUGAUGAAGGCCUUCGGGUUGUAAAGCCCUGUCGGGUGGAACGAACGAUCUGGCGGCGAAUAACCGCCGGGUGUGCCGGUACCACCGAAGGAAGCCCCGGCUAACUACGUGCCAGCAGCCGCGGUAAGACGUAGGGGGCGAGCGUUGUUCGGAUUUACUGGGCGUAAAGCGCGCGUAGGCGGCGAAAUCCCCGGGCUUAACCGGGGUCACGCAUUCGAAACUGUCUGGCUCGAGUCGAGGAGAGGAAAGCGGAAUUCCCAGUGGAGCGGUGAAAUGCGUAGAUAUUGGGAGGAACGCCGGUGGCGAAGGCGGCUUUCCGGACUAGUACUGACGCUGAGGCGCGAAAGCUAGGGGAGCGAACGGGAUUAGAUACCCGAGUAGUC
rnacentral:rRNA from 1 species